UAUGAACUCCACUUUAUUUUAGAGCAAUCAGCACAAAGGUUUGGCGAUUUUAGAGAAGUCCUUGAUGAACCUCUUGUAAAACCUACAUGCCUAAGGAAUAAGCAUAUUUUUCGUAUGUUUUUGGGAUAGGUAGUGAUUUGAUGACAUCUACUUUUGCCUUAUCGAGUUUUAAUCCCCUUGAGGACAUUACAUGUCCAAGAUCAGCCCUUGAUCCACCAUGAAAUGACACUUUUUGUAGUUUAGGAUAAGGUUGGAUUCCAGGCAUUUUUUUAGCAACUUUAUGAGGUUAUCGAGGCACUCAUCAAAAGAAUCGUCAUAAACCAUGAAAUUGUCCAUGAGGACUUCUGUGCUUCACUCCAAAAAGUCAUAAAAGAUGCUGACUAUGCAU
rnacentral:lncRNA from 1 species